AUGUGGAGCAGUCGUUUUCUCACAACAGUAUGUGUGCGUGGUGAGACGGUGAGAGACACUCACUUUGCUUUCUCUGCCGCACGCCGCCGGCCGCCUUGUUUGGAGCAGGGCGCAUGCCGCCGGCUGCCUUCUCUCGAGCAGGACGCAUCCUCUCCCGCCACGACGUCUUCUGCCCCCCUCCCCCUCCCCGCACCACCACCACCACCACCACCACGGCCUCACCCCGUCUCCUAUCCCCACGACGGCCUCGCCUCGCCGGCUCUUAUCCCCACCACGGCCUCGCCCCGCUGCCUCCUCUCACCACCGCGGACUUGUCUUGCCGCCAACCCCGUGGAUCUUCCCUAG
rnacentral:rRNA from 1 species